ACCCCCCAGGGCUCCCUAAAGAGGGCCACGAGCUGCGAAAGGGCGGGAAAGGCAGUUGGAGAAGAGGUAAGCGGUUACUCACUCCAUGGCUGCAGCAAGGAGAGGCGGCGGCGGCCUCGGCUGAAGAAAGAAGGUGGGAGCGGAGAGCGCAGGCGUGAAACCCACCUUGUCCCAUCCACAUCAGGACAUCCCAGCUGGAGUUCAACCUUCAUCCCUUCUGUGGCAGUUAGGAGACUGAAUCAAGGUCCAGAGAAGGUGGAGGAAUCCUGAUACUGAGCGGCCUUUCCUCCCGCGUGGACGGCGCCUCUCCCCCGCCAUCCUUUCCCUGGCUGAUGCUGCAUCUGCAACGCUCAGCUUCUCCCUGGAACCUGCUCCCACAGCAUGUGGCCCGGCCCUGUGCCUGCCCUGAGCCCUGGUUGUAGAGCUGACAUUUGACUCUGGCUGCCUUGAGGGCAGGGACCGUGGCUUAACCAGCCACUCUGGGCUUCACUUUCCUCAUUUGUCAAGUGGAUCUGCCCCAAAGUUUGCUUUGAGGAAACGGGCCUCCCUCUUUCCAUUUCCAGCUUUUAGAGCUGCUUCUGCCUUCCU
rnacentral:lncRNA from 1 species